UUGCACAGCACUGAGUAGAUGGAGAGUUUAAUCUGUUUUAUUUAUUUUCCAGAAGUAUAUUGCAAAUCCUUUGGUACACUUCAGUCAACACAAAGUCAUGUUAGAUACAAGCAAAAAAAAAAAAAAAGUUUUAAUGAAGGUAAGAAUUACUUCAUUAUUUUCUUUGACUUAAAUUUGCUUCAGCAGGUGUGUG